GACGAACGCUGGCGGCGUGCUUAACACAUGCAAGUCGUACGGUAAGGCCCUUUCGGGGGUACACGAGUGGCGAACGGGUGAGUAACACGUGAGUAACCUGCCCACAACUUUGGGAUAACGCUAGGAAACUGGUGCUAAUACUGGAUAUGUUCUCCUGCUGCAUGGUGGGGGUUGGAAAGCUCCGGCGGUUGUGGAUGGACUCGCGGCCUAUCAGCUUGUUGGUGGGGUAGUGGCCUACCAAGGCGGCGACGGGUAGCCGGCCUGAGAGGGUGACCGGCCACAUUGGGACUGAGAUACGGCCCAGACUCCUACGGGAGGCAGCAGUGGGGAAUAUUGCACAAUGGGCGCAAGCCUGAUGCAGCAACGCCGCGGGCGGGAUGACGGCCUUCGGGUUGUAAACCGCUUUCAGCAGGGACGAAGCUUUUUGUGACGGUACCUGCAGAAGAAGCACCGGCUAACUACGUG
rnacentral:rRNA from 1 species